rnacentral:lncRNA from 1 species
CCUCCUCGGUCCUCUGAGGCUCUGUAUAAAAUGCUUGAGGAAGAAGAAUUCUCUAAGGUCUUUUAGGGAGAAGAAAACAUUGGUCUAAUUUGCUAAGUAAGGGUGGACCAAGGCUAAACCAAAUCAAAUGUAUACAUGAAAUCCAAUUGCUAAAGUGAUGCUUAGCGUUUAAAGAGGACAAACUUGCAUAUAGAUCUGAGAAGCAGUCUUGAGGUUUGAGGAUGCCAGUGUGUGUAUCAGGCUGCAUUUCUCAGAGUAAUCUUAUUUUUUCAUGUGAACGACCCACCUCAUGUCAAGCUUAACUUCCAACAUCUACAAUGUGAAGGUAUCUCACUUUCUAAUGCAACACAUAGUAUUGAAGACAUUUUAUUAGAAGACCAUUCUCUACCUUGCCCCUUACUGCAUCCUAUUCCAAGUUUUAAAUUCUGAACGAUGCAAUUCUGACUGCCCUACAAGACACGGAAUCUACAGGUAAUUAGAACUGAGAAUCUCAAGACAUUUGAACAGAGAGGCCAGCACCAGUCUUUG